rnacentral:rRNA from 1 species
AGUGAACGCUGGCGGUAGGCCUAACACAUGCAAGUCGAACGGCAGCACAGUAAGAGCUUGCUCUUACGGGUGGCGAGUGGCGGACGGGUGAGGAAUACAUCGGAAUCUACUUUUUCGUGGGGGAUAACGUAGGGAAACUUACGCUAAUACCGCAUACGACCUACGGGUGAAAGCAGGGGAUCUUCGGACCUUGCGCGAUUGAAUGAGCCGAUGUCGGAUUAGCUAGUUGGCGGGGUAAAGGCCCACCAAGGCGACGAUCCGUAGCUGGUCUGAGAGGAUGAUCAGCAAAACUGGAACUGAGACACGGUCCAGACUCCUACGGGAGGCAGCAGUGGGGAAUAUUGGACAAUGGGCGCAAGCCUAAUCCAGCCAUACCGCGUGGGUGAAGAAGGCCUUCGGGUUGUAAAGCCCUUUUGUUGGGAAAGAAAAGCAGCAGGUUAAUACCCCGCUGUUCUGACGGUACCCAAAGAAUAAGCACCGGCUAACUUCGU